rnacentral:rRNA from 1 species
ACCUAAGAGAUUAGGCGUUCCCUUCGGGGACGGAAUGACAGGUGGUGCAUGGUUGUCGUCAGCUCGUGUCGUGAGAUGUUGGGUUAAGUGCCGCAACGAGCGCAACCCUUAUUGUCAGUUGCCAGCAUUUAGUUGGGCACUCUGGCGAGACUGCCGGUGACAAACCGGAGGAAGGUGGGGAUGACGUCAAAUCAUCAUGCCCCUUAUGACCUGGGCUACACACGUGCUACAAUGGACGGUACAACGAGUCGCGAAACCGCGAGGUCAAGCUAAUCUCUUAAAGCCGUUCUCAGUUCGGAUUGUAGGCUGCAACUCGCCUACAUGAAGUUGGAAUCGCUAGUAAUCGUGGAUCAGCAUGCCACGGUGAAUACGUUCCCGGGUCUUGUACACACCGA